CGGGGGCCACCGAGGGGCGGCUCCGGUCAGGAGAACCCGGCCUUGGCGGCGGCACCGGCGCCCUUCGCGACAGGGCUGCGUGAGGGCGGGCCGCUGCCCGCGGGCUCGCCGCUGCCGCCCGCCCCGAGAUGGGCGGUGCGCGCCGGCUCGCCGCGGGGGCGUGGGCUCGGGGUUAGCCCUGAAUGCCCCGUCCGUGGGGAGGGAACUGCCGGCCMCGGGAGGGGACGGGGAAAAAACUCUGAUGUUGGUUAAUCACAGUCAUAGAAUGGUUUGGGUUCAAACGGGCCCUAAAGAUCAUGUCGUUCCAACAUCKCCGCCGUGGGCAGGAACGUCUUUCACUAGACCAGGUCGCUCMGAGCCCCGUCCAGCCCAAACACUUCCAGUCAUGGGUCUUCCACAGCUUCGCUGGGUAAACUCCCACUGCCUCAUCACCCUCACAGUCCCCUUCAGYUGCUGGGAGGUUGCUCCGAGGUCUUCGCACAAACUUCUCGUAUCGAGUAUGAAGCACUUGUUUGUACACAGAGUUGGUAAUAYAUUGCCUGAGGUUACCAAAUGACGUGACGAAAAUGGUGGAGAUGUGUCGGAAACGCUUCUGGGAUGUGCACUCGGAAAGGGGUGAGGGCAGAGAGCUCUCCCRUCUAUAGGAAUUGUCAUGUGUCAGUGAGGUAAAGGCUCCCAAAAGAUGUCAGGUACACGUAGAAGAAACAUGUCUUGCUUCAAGAGGCCUUCAGGAAAAAGGAUGAAAUUUUGGAAGAGCAGGUAGCAUGGUUGCAUCCUCCAACCUCUGGAGCCACUUGUUCCUGACUAUUCAUCUGCUGAAUUUUCGGGUUGUGUUUUCUACCYGUUGGGAAGGGGGAGGGAACACCAGGAUCCCAGGCUACACUGUGGUAGAGCUGGAGACUCCUUUGUGUGAUUUYCAUCUGGCCUGUCCUACUGCAUUUAAAAAAAAAAAGAAAUAGCAGUGAGAAUAACUUCCAUGGCCAAGGAAGUUAUUCUCACUGCUAUUUUAUCUUUCCAAAAUAACUUGUUUUCUUUUCUAACCCUCCCCACCCCUCCCAUUUUUUUUCUUGCAGCAAACGUAGAUGUGGCAUUUAACAGCCCUCUUAAGACAUUAACAUUAAUGGCUACAAGAGAUGAGAGCCAUGUUAGUAAAUCAGGGAUUCCUGGGAAUCUCAAGGUUUUAGAGUAAUGGUAGCAUAAAUAUGUAAGGUUCUGUCAACCAACUUUGUUGGUCACUUAUCUCUUGAAGAUGAAUAAUUAAUAGGAGCACAAGAGCUUCUGUACUCCAUCAGAAAAAGAUCUAUCUAACCUACUGUCUGUCCCUGACCAUUGUCCACAGAGGAUACUUGGAAAAGAGGAAUGAAAUGAUGGCCAGUAUGUGGUGGUGACAAACAUGGGGUGACUGAAAUGUGUAUCACACCCAGUUGUCUGCUUGACUGCACUUUCCCAUAAAAACCAGCCCUGCUGUAGCUGUAUAACAUCUUGUGUGCUGGUGGUCAUGCUGGCAGAGAUAAACGGAUUGUCUUUGUCUUGCAGGGCCACACAGCUCCCAGAGCAGUACUCAGACCACACACACUGUCCAGGUACCCUCUCUGCUGGAGAAAUGUCAGCCCAAUCCUGUGGGUCUCCCUGGAAGGAAAUUUCCASUGCUGCUGUACUCUCACAGGAGGUGCUUGCUUGCAGCAGGGAUGGAUCCCAGUGCUCUCACAGCUGCCAGUCCUUGUCACAAUGAACAUGGGCAAGCCUGAUGGCCCAGGGGCUCUGCAGARUCACUCCCCAGGGUUGGGUGCACACAGGCAGGUGGUGCUUGUAGGCAGCUGGGGCUCAGGUGGAAGCGGGGCUGCCUGCUGGGAGCAGAGGAGGUGUUGGUGCCUGAUCGUGUGCUACAAAAGCAGGUGACAUGGACAUAUAUAGCCCAGCCACCAGCCUGCUUCUCCAGGGCUGCUGCAGCUGCUUUGGGAUGAUUGCUCUGGAAACAAAAAUACUCAAAGUACUGUUUGAAUCAGAGUUUUGUCUUCACACUGUACUUCAAAAYUUAUUUAACUUCUUAAUGUGUUUGGCAUAGUUGUUAAAAAGAAAAAAAAAGGAAAAACAGUAUUCAAAAUUAACUAGUAAAUGAUGAACCAUUACAUGUUACUUUAUUUUCAAUGCUGAAGAAGUAACUGUACUGAUAUUUUGCAUGUUGAACACUAGAUCUAUUGAAAUAAAAUUAGUGAAAACCCAGUAGUAAAAGCAAAUUUUUACUCUCUAAUUUAAAAGGACAUAAAUUAAACUUGGG